CACGCUGGAUUGCCGACGCAAGGCGGUUCUUGAAAGGUUCUUCAGCAGCAGGCAAGACUUGGGUGUAUCUUCACGCUGACUUGAGCCUGAAGGCUGUUCCUGCUCCGAAGGCUCGUCUUCUACCACAGCCAGUCGGGAUGGGACUCCACACAACUUUCUGACUCCUGUACAGUCGUUAACUUGGUUAGUCUUUAACUCCUUUUCACACAGAAACUGAGUAUCUGAGUAACUGAGUAACUGAGUAACUGAGUAUCUGAGUAACUGAGUAACUGAGUAACUGAGUUACUGAGUAUCUGAGUAUCUGAGUAACUGAGUAUCUGAGUAAAUGU
ensembl:lncRNA